UACAUUUGUCUAAGUGUUCCUGUAGUGA
rnacentral:sRNA from 1 species